rnacentral:lncRNA from 1 species
CUUCUUCUUCUGCUUGAGGAUGCUCUUUUCUUGGUGUUAUUGCUGUUGUGGAGAUGGUUGAUCCCGGGACAUCAUUUCGACACCAUUCGACAAAAUCAUUAUUAGGUUGAAUCAUGCCGACUGUAGAAUGUGAUUCAUUUUGCUGAUAAGACUCAUUACUCACUACACAUUCAUCCUCCUUAUUCUCAACCACAUUCCAUAUAUUGCGCGCUUGUGCUCGGAUAACAACUUUCCAAUCAUUGUCAAGUUUUAUGUCAUUAACAUAAUAAA